rnacentral:tRNA from 1 species
GGGGAUAUAACUCAGUUGGUAGAGUGCUUGCCUUGCAUGCACAAGGCCCUGGGUUCAAUCCUUGGUACCUCA